UUUGCGUGUUUGUGAUUGUAUUUGGUAGACGAUGUAUAUAUGUAUAUAUAUAUGUAAAUAUAUAUAUAUGUCGUAUAUAUAUAUAUAUAUAUGUGUGUGUUGUGUGUGUGUGUGUGUGUGUGUGUGUGUGUGUUUAUAUCUCUAUGUGUCUGUGUUUGUCCCCCAAAAUAGCUUGACAACCGAUGCUGGUGUGUUUACCUCCCCGUAACAUAGCGGUUCGGCAAAAAGAGACCGAUAGAAUAAGUACUAGGCUUCCAAAGAAUAAGUCCUGGGGUCGACUUGCUUAACCAAAGACGGUGCUCCAGCAUGGCCGCAGUCAAAUAACUGAAACAAGUAAAAGAAUAAAAGAGUAAAGAGUAUGUCUGAUAUCUCAUAAUAGUUGUCUGUGAUUCCAACCAAAGUAGUAAGCAUUCUAGGCAACACGUUGAUAUCUCGGUGUCAUACUAAAGCUAACACGUCGAACGUUAUAUUGAUCUUCGGCUUUGGUAGUGCCAGUAUUGGAAGAAUUAUAGAAAUGAAUAAAUAAAAUUGAUACAGAAUAAUAUGUUUACUAUUAAAUUUGUUUUUAUGAAAUUAUUAUAUGUAGGCACAGAAGGCGGAGAGCUGGCAGAAUUGUUAGCACACUGGACGAAAUGCUUAGCGCUUAGCGGUUCUUUCAAAUUCCACCGAGAUCGACUUUACCUCUUAUCCUUUCGGGGUCGAUAAAUUAAGCACCAGUUGUGUACUGGAGGCCGAUGUAAUCGACUGUCCCCCUCCUCCAAAUUUCAGGUUUUGUGCCUAUAAUAAAAAUGAUUAUAAGUAGACAUAGAGACACCGAUUACCACUCCCCUUAUGCACGUGUGUGUGUGUGUGUGUGUGUGUGUGUGUGUGUGUGCAUUUAUAUGUGUGUAUAUAAAUGUAGGAGAGGUGCUGACUUUAAGGAUGUCGCAAAACGCCUGGCUGGAGACCCAAUCUUCCGAGAUCUUUUGCAGGACCUAAAAAACCUGAAGGACUACUGUAAUUCGUGUGUAAAUUUGAAAGGGUAAUUUAUUGAAUAAAAUAAUUUAACUGAUCCACGUGUGUUUUCUUUUACCCAAAAGUCAGGAACAUUAUGUAUGUAUAUGUAUGUAUAUAUACAUGUAUUCAUACAUACAUAUACAUGUAUAUCAUACCAACAUCUGUAUAUUGUUAUAAAUACACAUAUAUACACAUAUUCAGCUUCUCGUUCUCAAUCUCUUUCUCUCUCUCUCUCUCUCCCUCUCUCUUUCUCUCUCUCACUUUCUCGCCAUGUAUAUGUUUGUGUGUGUGUGUGUGUGUGUAAUACGGUUAUACUAGGGAGAAUCUUUAAUUGGCUGCAAUUUUUUUCCUUUCCGUCAGUCAAAUUGUAUGCGCAUCACCGCGUUUCAAGUUUGAACUCGAAAUAUCGAAUCAAUUAUUAUUACCUGAAUCGCGACCAUAUUGGUUAAGGUUGAUCUCACAGGCAGAUCCAUAAUUAAUUUGCAUAUCAUUCACCACUUCAUCAAUAAUCACUCGUCUGAUCAUUUAAACCUUUAUCUGAGUGUUUGUGUGUGUGUGUUUUUUUUAUGCAUACGGGUGCCUAUGUUCUCAUGAACGAGUGAUUGUGAAAUUCGCAUUGCAAUCACGUGGCCCCGCAUUCAGUCUCACCGCGUGAUUGCUCACGCAAUUGUGUUGUGUUAACAAUAUGUUGAUGAAUAAAAUUGUGUAAACGGAGGCUUUGAAAAGCCGACGGAUUGAUUGUGGCUGGUGACACAUUAGUCGUCCUGUUUCUACCCAAGGCCCGCCGAUAAGUAUUUUGCGAAAUACUCAGAUACUUAAAAAAUCCUUGAAGUUAUAUUUAAUUCAGUGAUACUUAAAGACAAAAUCCUUAAGGUCGAAACAUACAGAUGAUCAUGAAGUUGACAGAAGGUUUGAAUACAUAUGCGUAGACGUAUGUAUGUGCCUGAGUCUCUUUCAUGUAUAAUGUUUUGCAUAUCGAAAAACAAAGAAUGUGAUUAACGCGCGGGUGAGAAAGAUAUACAGUGCAGUGGAUAAAUUCAUAGAAUGUUAUACUCUCUUUUUACGUGUUUCAGUCAUUUGACAGCGGCCAUGCUGAAGCACCGCCUUUAAUCGGGCAACUUGACCCCGGGACUUAUUCUUUGUAAGCCCAGUACUUAUUCUAUCGGUUUCUUUUGCCGAACCGCUAAGUGACGGGGACAUAAACACACCAGCAUCGAUUGUCAAGCAAUGCUAGUGGGACACACAUACAUACAAAGACACACAUACAUACACGCACAUAUAUACAAAGACACACAUACAUAUACGCACAUAUAUAUAUAUACACAUAUAUACGACGAGCUUCUUUCAGUUUCCGUCUACCAAAUCCACUCACAAGGCUUUGGUCGGCCCGACGUUAUAGUAGAAGACAUUUGGCCAAGGUGCCACGCAGUGGGACUGAACCCGGAACCAUGUGGUUGGUAAACAAGCUACUUACCACACAGCCACUCCUGUGCCUUAUCUCAUGAAUAUUUCAAUAUGCAGAGAAACAGAACAAUUAUUUGUCUCAUUAUAUAAUAAAUAAAUCUGUUUAAAGUUAAUAAGAAAAAAUUGUACAUUCCUAUGAUCGGCAGUUAUUAUUUUAUUCAUCAAAUUAUUAGUUUGUAAACUAUUACGGAUAUAGUAGCUGGCCAACGAACUAUCUGAAUAGUUAUAGCUACCUCAUGAGAAAAGAAAAUAGGCAAGGAAUUUUGUGGUUAUUUCCUUCUUUAAAAGAAUUUUUGCGCCCGAAAUAGGAAAUUUUCAAAUUUUUGCUCCCUUAGUCUGUGAUCUUUCUAGAAAAUUAUUACUGUCCCUAUUUUCUUUCUCCAUUGGUAGUGAUAUCUAUUUUGAAAAUCCGCCGAUCAACUGUUACCGCUCUCACGAGCGAAAUAUCUAUUCAGUAGUUUAUUUACUAACUUAUUAGUAAAUAGAAUAUUACCUGUUGAUGAUAGGGAAACCCCGGAACAUUUUUUUCUAAACAUCAAGUAUAAACAGGAACUUUUUAUUGUGUGUGUGUGUGUGUGUGUGUGUGUGUGUGUGUGUGUGUGUGUGUGUGUGUGUGUGUGUGUGUGUGUGUGUGUGUGUGUUUUAGUGUAGAGAAUCAACAUAUGGAAAAUUACACCGAAUAUCUUCCUUCAAAUUUGAAAAGACAGACAUAAAAAUUUUUUUCUUAGGUGAAUAGAAACAAAUAUUUCGAGACAGAAACUAGGAAUUUAUGACCGAAGUGUCAAAUAAUUCAUAUUAUCUGUCACAUCAGUUGUCUGCAAUGUAUCUACAUAAACAGGCAUAAGGCCAUACGCAGUUACAUCCGCAUAAAUAAACACAUGCGGACAUACAUGAAAAUGUGCAUCAAACAUACAUGCAUGCAUACAUGGUUGUCUGUGUGUAGAUGUAGCUAUGUAUAUACGGUGUGUAUAUAUACAUAUAUAUAUAUAUGUGUGUGUGUGUGUGUGUGUGUGUGUGCGUGCGUGUGUGUGUGUGUGUCUGUGUCUGUGUAGAUAUAUAUAUGAAUUUAUAUGUAUGUCUACAAACACAUAUAUAUAUAUAUAUAUAUAUAUAUGUAUAUAUAUGUAUAUAUGUAUAUAUAUAUAUAUAUAUAUAUAUAUAUAUAUAUAUAUAUACGUUUAAAUAUUUGUUGGCUAAACUGGCAAUAUGACCAUUCCGAAAUAUAACAAUAUAUAUAUAUAUAUAUAUAUAUAUAUAUAUAUAUAUAUAUAUAUAUAUAUAUAUAUAUAUAUAUAUGUAUGUAUACAUACAUACGUAUACAUUAUUAUUAUGGCUGCCCCUUCGUUAUCGAGUAUGGCUAUUGCACGAAGCUUAACUGUUAUUGGUACUUUGAUCGAAUGUGACUUUUUAGCCUAGCUAAAGAUCUACAAUGUCUUGUACAGAAUUGGCAACUAAAACCUUUACUUGUAAUAGCCGGCUGUAGUUGUAACUGGGCUUCAUGUACCUUUGCAUGUCCUUUAAUUCCUUCUGCCGAAUUACACUCUCUUCCACAUGCCCGACAGAUAUGAUUAGUAUGGUGUGUUACAACACCACCAGUGGCCAGGUUGUCACUUAUCUGUCUCGCUUUAUGACGACGAAGAUGAUUCUACACAUACAUACAUACAUACAUACAUACAUACAUACAUACAUACAUACAUAUAUUUCUUUACUACCCACAAGGGGCUAAACACAGAGGGGACAAACAAGGACAGACAAACGGAUUAAGUCGAUUAUAUCGACCCAAAUGCGCAACUGGUACUUAAUUUAUCGACUCCGAGAGGAUGAAAGGCUAAGUCGACCUCGGCGUAAUUUGAACCCAGGACGUAGCGGCAGACGAAAUACGGCUACGCAUUUCGCCCGGCGUGCUAACGAUUCUACCAGCUCGCCGCCUCUCUCUCUCUCUCUCUCUCUCUCUCUCUCUCUCUCUAUAUAUAUAUAUAUAUAUAUAUAUAUAUAUAUAUAUAUAUAUACACGUGUGUGUGUGCGUGUGUGUAUGUGUGUGUGUGUAUAUAUAUAUAUAUAUAUAUAUGCAUAUGUUAUAUCGCAAUACUGCACAGUGACUGUUUGAGCUACAAAACCCUCGUCACCACUGUUAUAUCGCACGUUCCGACGACCUCUACUCAACUUCUCGAUGUCUAGACUUCUCCCUAUACAUCUAUGUAUUGGGCUAGCCUACUUCAUCAUCUGGGGGCGUCGACACAACAGCAUAUAAGUAUACAUGCACGCAGUACACUUUCACACAUACGUGUUUUGUAUACGUACGUUUAGUUUGAAUCGAUUGCAUGUAUAUCUUAGUUUGCAAAGCUUUAAAUUUCCAAAUUUUGGAAACGGUGUUCAAUUUCUGAUAUUUUUCUUUUAUGUCCAUUAAGUUAAAGAUAAUUUAAGGUUUCAUCAAGCAGGUGCGUAUAAAUGACUGCUUCACCUGAAAUAAAGAAACGUUGUAAUGGAAAUAUUUUGGAAGCGAUUACCUGCAUGUCCAGAUUCCUUUGACCGAAUCCAGU
rnacentral:lncRNA from 1 species